GACGAACGCUGGCGGCGUGCCUAAUACAUGCAAGUAGAACGCACAGUUUAUACCGUAGCUUGCUACACCAUAGACUGUGAGUUGCGAACGGGUGAGUAACGCGUAGGUAACCUGCCUGGUAGCGGGGGAUAACUAUUGGAAACGAUAGCUAAUACCGCAUAAUAUUAAUUAUUGCAUGAUAAUUAAUUGAAAGGUGCAAUUGCACCACUACCAGAUGGACCUGCGUUGUAUUAGCUAGUAGGUGAGGUAACGGCUCACCUAGGCGACGAUACAUAGCCGACCUGGGGGGGUGAUCGGCCACACUGGGACUGAGACACGGCCCAGACUCCUACGGGAGGCAGCAGUAGGGAAUCUUCGGCAAUGGACGAAAGUCUGACCGAGCAACGCCGCGUGAGUGAAGAAGGUUUUCGGAUCGUAAAGCUCUGUUGUAAGAGAAGAACGGGUGUGAGAGUGGAAAGUUCACACUGUGACGGUAUCUUACCAGAAAGGGACGGCUAACUACGUG
rnacentral:rRNA from 1 species